GAUAUCUGUUAUUAUUGGUGCUAUAGCUCUGUACUAUACCAGUGCCAAUCCCGCUUUACCUUAUACUGCUGCCGUACCUGUCUGGAUGGGUAUACCGGUAAUUGUCUGUGGUAUAGUAGGAUUUUUAGCUGGUAAAUAUGGCGUUACAGAGACAGAAGUUUCUGUUAAAACUAAACGUUUGGUGAUAAGUUAUUUCGUCAUUUGUUUAAUUAUGAUCUCGGUUUGUAUCCUGGGCGCUCUAGUGGAAAUUUUCGGCAUUGUCUUUUGUACUCGGGCAGAAACCUCGGAACUCGUCAAACCCUGUUUACCUAAUAGGACCGGGAAUUUAACCAUGGCAGUGUUGGGAAUGAUCAUUAUGUUCGUUAUGUUUUCAUUUUCUAUCCUGGGUUCGUGUAUCUGUUGUUUUGGUCGGUCUUUGGGUUUUAAGGACAGAUAUGAUUAUGCUAUGGAACUGGGGUAUGAAAUGGCCCAACUACAACAGUGGCAACAGCAACAGCAAGUACAAGAUGGCGGCUACACAAACUGGGGUAAAAGCUAAACAGGAUGGUAUAUAAUUCGUUAACAAUUGAAAGGCGAGUCAUUUAAAUGAAGGGUUUUAAAGGGACAAUAACACUCUUGCUGGCUUGACAGCUCCAGAAAAUAAAAAAUAGCCUUAUUCUAAGUAAAUUGUGUAAAUUAUCCAUUAAAUCCUAUUUUACUUGUCCAGAGAGUUCAAAAAUAUUUUUAAAUCCAAGUCACAUUUGAAAAGCUUUACGUCAGGCUUUUCAAAUCAUUUAGUUGAAUUUUUCUAAUUUUUUAAAUUAGGUGUGUUAAGAUCAAAUUUGUAUCAUCAAUUAAUUGGAAUAUUGUAAAAUAGUACAAUUUGUUGACCAGAAUAAAGAUUUGAACAUAUUAUUCAGUUACAACAAGAGUGGUAUUGAACCUUAAAAAUGAAAUGGGUUAGGGUAACAUGGUAUUGGGAUACUCUGCAUAAUAAAACAAGCACAGGAAAUGCCUAGUAGCUUUACUGAGAUCCGGGCCGGCUUUGGCACAUUUGAACAAUUUCCCCAAAUUGGACCCCACGCCAGAAGGGGUCUCCGCCGCUUACCAACAAUAAAACUCUAAUUAAAGAUACAUUAUGGGAGAUAAGAUAACAAGAUGUCAGUUCUCGCUAUAAUAGUUAAAAACUAGAUAAUGUAAAGGUAAUUUGCUGAAAAUUUCAGUCAAAUUGAUCCACUAUGAGCCGAGAAGGAAGCGUGUGAAAUUUUGGCAUAGUCUCGGUCAUCAUUACUAAAAUCAUUAUUAUAAACAACUUAGUCUCGAUUAUCCACUUUUUAUGAUUUAAUUAUCAACGGCCGUUAGCGGCAUAUAGGAAUCUAAUCCAGCCAACAUCGAAGGCUAGCCUUGGCAUCGAGAGUUUAUUAUGGUCUGGAUAAGUUAAUUAAUGUCUAAUUGAUAAUUUAGAUAACAUUCCAGGCCUAAAGAAAUACUUGUAAUAAGCAGAUUUUGCUCUUGCAUAAUGCAUGUUUAACUGUAUACAUGUAUUAAUCAAUUACUAAUUGUAAACUAAAGCAUAGUUGGCCAAAUAUGAAUAUAGGCCUAGUUAAAAGGCCAUUAUAGGAGAUUAGAUAAAGAGUUGACAGUUCUCGCUAUAAUGUGUAAAAAAUAGAUAAUGUAAAUAGAAUAUGCUGAAAGUUUCAAUCCAAUUGUUACACUCUGACUCGAGAUAUUAGCUCUUGAAUUUUAGGCUUGUCAUAAAUAAUGUAAAUAGAAUAUGCUGAAAAUUUCAGUCAAAUUGUUCCACUCUGAAUCGAGAUAUUAGCUUUUGGAUUUUAGGCUAGCCUCGAUCAUCAUUACUAAAGUCGGUACGAUAAAGAACAAAGUCUAGAUUAUCUAUUUUUACGUUUAAUUAUUUUUCAAAAAAUGUAUUCCAAUCCGCUAAAUAUAGCAGACUAGAGAUGGCAUCGAGAGUAGCUUAUGGUCUGGAUAUGUUAAUUAAAAUCUAAUUAAUAAUUUAGAUAACAUUUCAGGCCCAUAGAAAGACCCGUAAUAAGCAGAUUUAGCUCUUACGUAAUGUAUGUUUAAAGUAGCUAAGUCUAUAACUCUUACGUAAUGUAUGUUUAAAGUAGCUAAGUCUCUAACUCUUACGUAAUGUAUGUUUAAAGUAGCUAAGUCUCUAACUCUUACGUAAUGUAUGUUUAAAGUAGCUAAGUCUCUAAAUCUUAUAGAUAAAUUACAAAAAGUACAGAAUACUGCUGCUAGACUUGUUACUUUAACUAUGGAAUGUGAUCACAUAAUUCCUGUUUUAUAUAAUUUACACUGGUUACCUGUUAAAUAUCGAAUUGAUUUUAAGAUUUUAUUACUUACAGUACUUUUAAAUGUUUAAAUAAUUUAGCUCCUGUUUACCUCUCAGAUCUUUUAGAACUUUAUACACCUGGCCGAACAUUACGUACAUCAGAUAAAUUACUUUUAAAGCCCAAAACUGUUCAACUAGUCUCGUCUGGUCAGCGCUCUUUUAGUUAUCAAGCACCUGUUUUAUGGAAUAAUCUACCAUUUAGUUUAAGAUGUUGUACAUCUCUAUAUUCUUUUAAAAAAACAAUUUAAAACACAUUUAUUUAAUCAGGCUUUUAAUUGACUCUGUAUACAAUCGUUAACAUGUCCAUAAUCUUGUUGUUUAUGUAUGAUUUACAUUGUCACUUUGUAAAGUGCCCCUGAACAUGUUAUAUGAAAGGGCUCACUAUAAAUAUGCUGUAAUAAUAAUAAUAAUAAUAUCAUCCAAAUUUGAAUCAACAUUGAUGUUGUGACCUUACCGGGAAAAGGUGGGCUUCUGAUAUCCAGUAUUUAAGACAAAAUAAAAAUUUUACCAUUGGUACACGAAUCAUAUACCAUAAUGUGUAUCAGCGCCAUUUGUAACAAGCGACUCGAAGAACGAAGCUAGACGUAUUCCACAGGUCAUGUCAAACGGUAAAGCCAUAUUCGUAUCUGGAGAGCAUGCGCAAUAAAUAGUAUCUUUGUAGACUGGAAUAACCAGACGCUAGAGAUUGCAAUUCGAUUGAGACUUCUGGCGUAUUUCGCAAACAUAACUGAUUUGAAAUUAGAGUAAAAACGAAAACGAUUGAAUGUAAAUCAGUUUAUAUAUAUAUACAUUCAUAUUACAUUAUUAUAUGCGUUGCGACAAUUUGUCUCAAUUUCUAAGUUCCAAAUCUUAGCGAUUUAGCUCUUUUGAAUUUAUUAAUAUCCUGCAAUGUAUUCAUAUCCGGAAAAUUCGGGUUUCUCAAAUUAGCCCUGACUGAAAUAUAGUUACGAGGUAAUGGUAAAUCAUCAACAAAAUUAAUAACCUCUUCCUUUCGUUUGCUUGAUAAAUUAUAGAGAAUCUCAAAACCGAACUUUUUAAUCAAUUAUACAACUGAUUGAAUACGGUUCUAGCUGUGUUUGUGUCAGACUUUUACCAUGUGUACUAAAUAAUGUUCUCCAUUUUUUGUUUAUGUCUUUUUUAUGGAGAGCAGCUCACUGAGUUGAAUUGUUGGCGCUAUAUAAAUCAAUUAUUAUUAUUAUUAUUGUUUUCAUGUACAUAAUGUUCCAGAAAUUUAUAUAAUUGUAUCAUUUGCUUGACGGAAACUAGGUACGUCGUUGGACAAUAAACAGUUAUGUCCGGUGUAAAUUUAUAGAUAAUGUUGUUAUGAACUGGGGUUUAACGUCCUACUUCGACUGGGCUAAUGAAGACGGCCAAGGGCCUCUUUCCUGCAUCACUGACAAGUGGGAACCACAUCGGAAAAUUCCGAUGAACUUUCUCGGGAAAGUGAAAGUAUUGAACAACAGGUGAGCGAGCCAACGUCAUACCCGCUGAGUCACCGUGACUCCCAGAGAAUGUGGUAUGCCCAGACAUGAGAUGCUCAUAGAACAGCAUAACUUUGUUGGGUUUUUUUGUUUUUUUUCGUAGGAAGCCGUAGUGGCACAGUAACUAAGGCUCUGUCACGUUAUCCAUGAGGUUUCGAAUUAGCUGCCGGUGUUGACCCAGGAAAAUCCUCUAGAUUUUCAUACGGGGUUUCCCAUUGUCGGUGCUGCAGGGCGGUGGGCCUCGUAAGGACGGAAUAAGAGUAGGUCGUAGCGGCUGUGUCCGGGCAAAACUUCUCUCAAUCAAAGCACCCGUCUUCAUUAUCCUUGUUAGUGCAGAUAGAUAUAGGAUGUUAAACCCCAUUUCAUUUCAUUUCAUGUCAUUUGUUUUUCUUGUAAAUAAAUGUAUUUCCAUCUUACAUAUCAGAACAUAUA